rnacentral:rRNA from 1 species
AGUGAACGCUGGCGGUAGGCCUAACACAUGCAAGUCGAACGGCAGCACAGUAAGAGCUUGCUCUUACGGGUGGCGAGUGGCGGACGGGUGAGGAAUACAUCGGAAUCUACUUUUUCGUGGGGGAUAACGUAGGGAAACUUACGCUAAUACCGCAUACGACCUACGGGUGAAAGCAGGGGAUCUUCGGACCUUGCGCGAUUGGAUGAGCCGAUGUCGGAUUAGCUAGUUGGCGGGGUAAAGGCCCACCAAGGCGACGAUCCGUAGCUGGUCUGAGAGGAUGAUCAGCCACACUGGAACUGAGACACGGUCCAGACUCCUAUGGGAGGCAGCAGUGGGGAAUAUUGGACAAUGGGCGCAAGCCUGAUCCAGCCAUACCGCGUGGGUGAAGAAGGCCUUCGGGUUGUAAAGCCCUUUUGUUGGGAAAGAAAAGCAGCAGGUUAAUACCCCGCUGUUCUGACGGUACCCAAAGAAUAAGCACCGGCUAACUUCGUG